AGAGAGAAAUAAAUACGAUUAGGCCAUUAUUAGGGUUUUGCGGAGAAAGCGAAUAAUAAAGAUGAAGCGAAAAAUAGCACUUUCAGUUUCCGCCCAAUUCACGGCUCCCUCGACACCUCCAACUCCACGCAAGUUUUUGAAACCCAAAGGCGGCGACCUCUUUACCUCCUCUAAGAAGAGAAACACAAGGAGGAGAUCUCUGUCGCAAACCCUCACCCUCGAAUAUCAAAAUUUGGAAUGGGUACCCCUGAAUUUGGGGAAAGCAGAGCUGUCGUUGUCACUGACAUUCCCUACUGGUCAGACAUUCAGGUGGAAGAAAACAGGGAAUCUCCAGUACACUGGCGUUGUGAAGUCCCAUUUGGUUUCUUUGAAGCACCUUGAAAAUGGUGACGUCGCUUACCGUUUUCACGCGGAGGAGGAGGAGGAGGAUGCUAAGUCGGCUUUAUUUGAUUUUCUCAAUACGGAUAUCUGUUUGACUGAUUUGUGGGAGGAUUUUGCAGUCUCCGAUCCCAGGUUUGCUGAAUUAGCACCCCGUUUUGCUGGUGUCCGCGUGCUUAGGCAGGAUCCUCUGGAGUGUCUCAUUCAGUUCUUGUGUUCGUCUAAUAAUAACAUUCAGAGGAUCACUCGAAUGGUUGAUCACAUUUCUUCCUUAGGUCAUUAUCUGGGGACCCUUGAGGGCUUUCAAUUUUUCCGCUUCCCGUCGCUAGACCGGUUGGCCAUGGUCUCUGAAGGGGACCUUAGGGAGGCUGGCUUUGGCUAUAGAGCAAAAUACAUAGUUGGCACAAUAAAAGCAUUGCAAUCGAAACCUGGUGGUGGUGCUCAGUGGCUUUCUUCUUUGCGUGGAUUGGAUCUUGAAGAGGUUAUAACUGCUCUCUCUACUUUGCCCGGUGUGGGUCCAAAAGUGGCAUCAUGUGUAGCUCUUUUCUCUUUGGACCAACAUCAUGCCGUUCCGGUUGACACACAUGUUUGGCAGAGGUUAAGGAUGGAGCAGAUGCCAGAUUGUGUGAGUAAUUUAGUGAAGAAGUAGUAUUUAUACCCAUUUUUGGAGUUGGGGAAUGAUGCGAAGAAGAUGAAGGGGCUGUAGAGUAUAAUGCUUUGAUAAUUGAGAAAUGCGAAUUGAGUUGGGAAUUGCAAAGGUCAUGAAAUAUGAAGUUGCCACUAGAAGAAGGGAAUUGAUUGCUUAUGAAUGAUGAUGACAUACACGUGCACAUCUCCAAAGUAAAAGAAAAAACUAAACGGUGUUUGAUCCUGGAGGUGAUCACAAACCAUCUGAAAUAUUCACUUUACAACUGAGUGGAGAACCAGAUGGAAUGAGUGCUUAAUAGAAAAGAAAAACUCCAGAUAAGUAAGAACGUGCAACAAACUCCUAGUUUUAUCAAAGAAAGUAAAACCAUCUCCAAGAACUGGAAUCCAGAGGGAUCAAAUUCUAGUCAUGUGUUAGUUCAUGGUGCUUGGAAGAAUGGAGGGGUCUGGGAAAACAGAGUGGACAGCAGCAUAUGGUUGGGCACUUCGCUUUGACAAGACAGACCUGUUAGAGGAGAGUGGGGAGCUCUGUGCUAUUGAUCCACACCAAUUCUGAGGCCUAUGCAAUGCUUAAUGGACUGAAAGGUGUAAAGAGUUUGGGCCUGAGGAAACUGCUAAUCUGGACAGAUUCGACAGAGCUGAUCAAAGGUCUACAGGACUGCAAACAGGCUUCAACAUUCAUAAAGCCAAUAAUCUAAGACAUACAAUUACUUUUAAAUGCUUAUUGUGCCUUCUGCGUUAUUUAAUUAUUAGACAAAAAAUCACUAAACCUCAUUUCCUAGCUAUAGAAGACAAGAGUGACUCUUGUUUUGUUAUGCUUUUGCCAAAAAAAAAAGUCAGCAGCAAUGAAUAGGUUGCUACAAGAUACCUUAUGCCUGAGUUUGCAGGUGUCCGUCUGACACCAAAGCUCUGCAGCCAUGUAGCUGACGCAUUUGUUACAAGAUAUGGCAAAUAUGCUGGCUGGGCCCAAACCCUACUUUUUGUCUCAGAG